rfam:Camelus ferus unplaced genomic scaffold scaffold1284, whole genome shotgun sequence.
GUAUAUAUAGCUCAGGGGUAAAGCAUGUGCUUAGCAUGCACAAGGUCCUGGGUUCAAGCCCCCGUACCUCCA